GGAAAUGUUUCCAGGGGGGGCCAUAAUCAGUGACGGACCCGCAUCCAUCCGGUUGUCUUCGCGCUUCUGAAUGUGCGCUUUUGUUGCUUAUGGCUACAAGACAUUGAAAUGUUCUGUCCGUUUUGUGCUGUGCAACUGGGGGAUGCUCCCAAGUUUUGCCCGUCGUGUGGUAUGAACGUGGGGUUCCUUACGGAGCGUCCAUCCACGUCAUCAAGCGUAGGCCAUGGGCCUACAGUGAAUGAGACAAGUAUCCAAGGAAGAGCAGCUCAAUUCAUGAGGUUCAGGGAAGUUAAAGAGGCUGAGAGGAGGACCUUUUCAAAGGCUAAAAAGAAACCAAACAUUACGGUCAAGAUAUCGAUUGGCAUAAUGACCAGAACAAAAUAUGGGUUAAAACCUAAGGGGGAAAACCUUGCCAUUAAAUGUUGAACCCCUGUGGUCAUCAAAACAAAUUUUGCCAGCUGCUAUAAAAAAACAGCGAGAUUUUAAUCAAGACACAAUGUACGAUGGAGAAUAUGUCCUGGUCUAUCCUGAUGGCUCUCAGGUACAAAAUAUACCAGGCACAGACAGACCCUUUGUCCUUGAACAUUAUAAAGAGGCCAUUGGAAAGACUUACCAGAGGAUCGUACUGUACAUCUGCCCCCUUCAGGAUUUGAGUCAUGGAGAUGACUCAUUUUCAGAAUCUGAUGAUGAAGCAUUUGCUAGGCUUCCACUGAAAAUUUUACCAAAACAAUGUCCACCAACAAUGUCCAGGCCAUCUGAUGGGCAAG